rnacentral:rRNA from 1 species
AGCAGUAGCCGCGGUAAUACCAGCACCUCGAGUGGUCAGGAGGUUUAUUGGGCCUAAAGCAUCCGUAGCCGGUUGCAUAAGUUUUCGGUUAAAUCUAUGCGCUUAACGUAUAGGCCGCCGAAAAUACUGUGCAGCUAGGGAGUGGGAGAGGUACACGGUACUCGAUAGGAAGGGGUAAAAUCCUUUGAUCUAUUGAUGACCACCUGUGGCGAAGGCGGUGUACCAGAACACGUUCGACGGUAAGGGAUGAAAGCUGGGGGAGCAAACCGGAUUAGAUACCCCCGUAGUCCCUGUCUCUUAUAC